rnacentral:lncRNA from 1 species
GUCCAAAAUUUGCAUUCAUUUUGAACUCCCGCUCAUACCCAAUUCUCCAUACACCUCCUUUUCAUUUUUCAUUUGCAGGAUGAGAGAGAAGGUAGCCUCUGUGUUCUUCCUACUGUCAUUUGAGGGAUUCACAGCCGAUUCAACUAAAUUUUCCAAGAAGAAUCUUCCAAGAUUGAAGCCGUAUGCAGUCCAUCGCUAGAAGGGGGAGUGCUCGAAUGCAGUCAUUCAGAUCUGGUAUCAGAUCGACGGAGAAGAGGUGCAACUGACACUUUCGUCCUCUCCUCAUUGAAACACAGAUAUAAUGUUUGGAGAUGCCAUGAGGAGAGGAAUCCUAAUUGGUGAAAAAAAAAGAUUUACUACAGUGCUGGUAUCAAAUGGUGGAGGAUGAAAAACCACAAUCAACCAUGGGCUCGGGUAGUGCAAGCCCUUCAAGAAAAUGCUAGAUUCUUUAUAGUCAUCCUGUUUAAGAAAAGUAAUAUAGAUCAUGGUAGACUCUCAUCAAGUAACCUGGUAGACUCUCAUCAACUAUAGCUAUAGCUGAGGGCACCCCUGACAAUCAGAUACCAAUGUCUAGGAAGGAACCUAGGAAUCUGUAAUGUUCUCUUGCUCAGAAACAAUUGAAUCUGAGUGCAGAUGUGGCUGAAGUAUCACAGGAGAAGCUACUUUCACUUGUGGCAGAAUGGUUGAGCGAUUCCAACAGCAAUGCAAAUAAUUUCUGCAGCAAAACUAAUGAUGUCAUGGCUGGCAAAUCCAUGAAGUUAGAUUCCACUUCAAUAACUAAUGAUGUCAAUAAGAUUGACACCCAAGAUGUGCGGGUGCAGGCUCAAAAUCCACAAGAAGAGUGACAGUUGUGUAUAUAUCUUUUCUUCUUACAUGGUAUCAUAUUUGUGAUGCAAUGCGACUUUUUACUCACUUUUUAGAGACAAUGGUGUGGAAAGGAGUGGCCGUAGGAAUUCCACCAGCCAUGCAUAAUGGUCAAACUUGUGUCUCAUGGACAAAUAAAAUUAGUCAUUGGUGGGGGAAGAUACCUAGAACCAUUACCUAUCUGAUGUCCAGUCUUGAUUAUUGGUGUUGAAAGUCGUUUGUGUGUGAUAGAAGCUGUGUUUGGUCUUGAUUAUUGGUAUUGAAAGUCGUUUGUUCUCCGGAGUGCUUUUAAUGGUUCAUGCUUCAUGGGUUCGACUCAAUGUGGGUGUGCUUCACUCGAGUGAGAUAGGUCUCAUGUAUUUGAUGCUUUAUUUUAUUUUCUUUAUUUAUUUGAGUGUGUUUGUAUUUUGUUUUUGGGGGACCCCAUGAUUCUUGUGUAAGGUUGUUCUAGCAUCUUGCUAGCCACUGUUUUGGUGCUUUUAAUAAAAUUGCUGUUAAAAAAUGAAAAGAGAUCCUGA